rnacentral:rRNA from 1 species
UACGUAGGGUGCGAGCGUUGUCCGGAAUUAUUGGGCGUAAAGAGCUUGUAGGCGGUUUGUCGCGUCUGCCGUGAAAGCCCAGGGCUUAACCCUGGGUCUGCGGUGGGUACGGGCAGACUAGAGUGUGGUAGGGGGAGACUGGAAUUCCUGGUGUAGCGGUGAAAUGCGCAGAUAUCAGGAGGAACACCGAUGGCGAAGGCAGGUCUCUGGGCCACUACUGACGCUGAGAAGCGAAAGCAUGGGGAGCAAACAGG